rnacentral:lncRNA from 1 species
UAUCUCUAGGAAUUUUUUAUGAAGACUAGUGUAAUGAGGAUGUCCACGAAUGAAGACAUACCUUCCUUUACUAAUAGAAUAAGAAGGAAAGACUCUACCAAAGGUUAUAUGAUUAAGACCAAUGUAAAAAUAUCGAGAAAAAACAUGGUCUUGUAGGGCUAGGUUUAAACCAGAAUUUAUAGAAAGAUUAACAGAUUCCCUAGGUGUAGCUAAAAGUUCAUUAAAGAUAGGACCUCGGCUAUAGAAAAGGGUUGGUUUUGACCUAUUGCAAUCAACUCCAGACAUAGAUCAUAAUUAGGGGCAAAGAAAGGACUUGUUGACUCCCAUGGUCUAUGGCUGGUCUCCGAAGGUGCAAAGAAUUUAAUAAUAGGUGUAGAAUUUAAGUUAUCCACAAAGAUGGAAAAAAUAAAAAGAUAAAAUAAUAAAAGUAUAAUACAAGAUAAUAGCAAGAUUUAAAGUUAUCUUAGCAAACCGUCUUUCUCCCCGGCAACGGCGCCAAAAAUGCUUGUUGAUAUUUGGUAACGCCAUCAGGAAAUGAUCCGCAAGCGCACGGAUAUCGGUGAGCAUUUCACCCAGGAGGUUAUCCAAAGUAUCAUAUUUAUAUUUUUACCACUG